rnacentral:rRNA from 1 species
AAGCGGAGGAAAAGAAACUAACAAGGAUUCCCCUAGUAACGGCGAGUGAAGCGGGAUGAGCUCAAAUUUAAAAUCUGGCUGGUUUACUAGUCCGAAUUGUAGUUUAAAGAAGCGUUUCGGUGGCAGUCUCGGUAUAAAUCCUUUGGAAUAGGGUAUCAUAGAGGGUGAGAAUCCCGUCUUUGACUGAGAAUUUGCUACUAUGUGAUACGUUUUCAAAGAGUCGAGUUGUUUGGGAAUGCAGCUCAAAAUGGGUGGUAAAUUUCAUCUAAAGCUAAAUAUUGGCGAGAGACCGAUAGCGAACAAGUACCGUGAGGGAAAGAUGAAAAGAACUUUGAAAAGAGAGUUAAACAGUGCGUGAAAUUGUUGAAAGGGAAACGCUUGAAACCAGUCAUGUGGUUGGAAAAUCAGUGUUCAACAGGGGGGAAUGGGGGAGGUGUGGACCGCAAGGCUGCUCUUUUCUAUAUCUCUUUUGUUGGGCAUGCACUUUUUCUUCUGCAGGUCAACAUCAGUUUCUUUUGCUGGACAAAACUCUUGAGAAGGUAGCAGCUUAGGCUGUGUUAUAGCUCUGGAGCGAUACAGUGGAGGAGACUGAGGUUUUCGCAGCAUGUGCUCUCGGGCAAGGCCAAUUGGGUGCUAUGGGAUCGUUCGGGGUACAAUACAUGUAUUUUGCCUCGUGUCUUUUCUAUACUCGUUCAGUUGAGCUCUUCCAUGCUUAGGAUGUUGACUUAAUGGUUUUAAUCGACCCGUCUUGAAACACGGACCAAGGAGUCUAACAUAUAUGCAAGUGUUUGGGUGGCAAACCCAUGCGCGUAAUGAAAGUGAACGUAGGUGCCAUCCGCAAGGUGCAGCAUCGACCGAUCUUGAUAUUUUUGGAUAGAUUUGAGUAAGAGCAUAUAUGCUGGGACCCGAAAGAUGGUGAACUAUGCCUGAAUAGGGUGAAGCCAGAGGAAACUCUGGUGGAGGCUCGUAGCGAUUCUGACGUGCAAAUCGAUCGUCAAAUUUGGGUAUAGGGGCGAAAGAC